GAGUACCUCAAGCGUUAUCCGGAAUCAUUGGGCGUAAAGGGUGUGUAGGCGGUUUUGUUAGUCUUCUGUUAAAGCUUCGGGCUUAACCCGAAAAGUGCAGAGGAAACGGCAAAUCUAGAGGAUGCGAGAGGUGAACUGAACUCAUAGUGUAGGGGUGAAAUCCGUUGAUAUUAUGGGGAAUACCAAAUGCGAAGGCAGUUCACUGGCGCACUCCUGACGCUGAAACACGAAAGCGUGGGUAGCGAAUGGGAUUAGAUACCCCAGUAGUCCACGCCCUAAACGAUCUUCUCUUGCUAUUCGGAGUAUCGACCCUCUGAGUGGCGAAGCUAACGCGUUAAGAGAAGCGCCUGGGUAGUACGGCCGCAAGGCUA
rnacentral:rRNA from 1 species